AUGAACGCUAGCGGCAGGCCUAAUACAUGCAAGUGGAACGGUGUCUUCGGACAUAGUGGCGCACGGGUGCGUAACACGUAUGCAACCUACCUUACAUUGGGGGAUAGCCUUUCGAAAGGGAGAUUAAUACCGCAUAAGACAGUAGCUGGGCAUCCAGCAGCUGUUAAAGAUUUAUCGAUGUAAGAUGGGCAUGCGUCCAAUUAGUUAGUUGGCGAGGUAACGGCUCACCAAGACUUUGAUUGGUAGGGGAACUGAGAGGUCAAUCCCCCACACUGGCACUGAGAUACGGGCCAGACUCCUACGGGAGGCAGCAGUAGGGAAUAUUGGGCAAUGGACGCAAGUCUGACCCAGCCAUGCCGCGUGCAGGAUGAAGGCGUUAUGCGUUGUAAACUGCUUUUAUACAGGAAGAAACGACUCUUGCGAGAGGCAUUGACGGUACUGUAUGAAUAAGCACCGGCUAACUCCGUGCCAGCAGCCGCGGUAAUACGGAGGGUGCAAGCGUUGUCCGGAUUUAUUGGGUUUAAAGGGUGCGCAGGUGGUUUAUUAAGUCAGUGGUGAAAGACGGUCGCUCAACGAUUGCAGUGCCAUUGAAACUGAUAGACUUGAGUAAAGUAGAGGUGGGCGGAAUUGAUAGUGUAGCGGUGAAAUGCAUAGAUAUUAUCAAGAACUCCAAUUGCGUAGGCAGCUCACUUGGCUUUUACUGACACUCAUGCACGAAAGUGUGGGUAUCAAACAGGAUUAGAUACCCUGGUAGUCCACACUGUAAACGAUGAUAACUAGGUGUCGGCCGAAUCUGGUCGGUGCCACAGCGAAAGCGUUAAG
rnacentral:rRNA from 1 species